CAGUCGCCGCGGUAAUACGUAGGUGGCAAGCGUUGUCCGGAAUUAUUGGGCGUAAAGGGCUCGCAGGCGGUUUCUUAAGUCUGAUGUGAAAGCCCCCGGCUCAACCGGGGAGGGUCAUUGGAAACUGGGAAACUUGAGUGCAGAAGAGGAGAGUGGAAUUCCACGUGUAGCGGUGAAAUGCGUAGAGAUGUGGAGGAACACAGUGGCGAAGGCGACUCUCUGGUCUGUAACUGACGCUGAGGAGCGAAAGCGUGGGGAGCGAACAGGAUUAGAUACCCGCGUAGUCCCUGUCUCUUAUACA
rnacentral:rRNA from 1 species